AAUGAGAAACAAAAUUCUUUCCAUAAUGUUCUUUUCUUCUUUUAGCUUCUGCAAUUCUUCACAUGGUAUUAGAGCUUUGCUCGAAGAUUGGGAUCUUGAUUGUUGAUCUUCUUUAAAUCUUCUUAAGGAUUACAAUUAGAAUUACAGGUUGUUGAUAUAUUGACAAAGGCAUUACAACCAAAGCAAUAUCAUUGGUAGCUAAUUAAGAUGAAUAUUCAUGAUAUUCAUGCUCCAUCAUGAAUAUUCAUCUCCAGGGGGAGUAUUAAUUUGGAAUAAUCACUAUGAUUUUAUUAGUUGUAGUUCAUAGUGCAAUGAGAAGAAGAAAUCUGUUUGAGAAGAAAGACAUGUGAGGAUCACAUGAUCAACUCUCAUUAAAGAAUACGUAUAUAGUAACUUAUGUGUAUUUACUUUUUACUGUUACUGUUUACUUUAGUAAAUUGGUAGUUAGGCCUUAACUAAUUAACUUUUUAGUUAAAGUUUUUUUCUUUCCUUAUGACAGAGACCUUUUCUCCUUUUUUCUUUGUAUAUAAGUACGAUUGCUCUGUAAUUUUUUUUUGAAAUGCGAUUGCUCUGUAAUUUUGGGAUUGCUGAGAAAUAAAAUUCUUUCCACAA